CCUACGGGAGACAGCAGUAGGGAAUAUUGCUCAAUGGGGGAAACCCUGAAGCAGCAACGCCGCGUGGAGGAUGAAGGUUUUCGGAUUGUAAACUCCUUUUGUUAGAGAAGAUAAUGACGGUAUCUAACGAAUAAGCACCGGCUAACUCCGUGCCAGCAGCCGCGGUAAUACGGAGGGUGCAAGCGUUACUCGGAAUCACUGGGCGUAACGAGCGCGUAGGCGGGAUAGCAAGUCAGAUGUGAAAUCCUAUGGCUUAACCAUAGAACUGCAUUUGAAACUGUUAUUCUAGAGUAUGGGAGAGGUAGGUGGAAUUCUUGGUGUAGGGGUAAAAUCCGUAGAGAUCAAGAGGAAUACUCAUUGCGAAGGCGACCUGCUAGAACAUAACUGACGCUGAUGCGCGAAAGCGUGGGGAGCAAACAGGAUUAGAUACCCCUGUAGUC
rnacentral:rRNA from 1 species